GGGGAUGACCCGGUUUCGACGGGGUUGGCCGAGCGGGACGUUGCGAGCCGAGGAUGAUCGUGGGCCUCGUUAAUCAUCGAUCAAAGCCUUUAACUGGCAACACCAACAGCACCACCUACGCCCUCGCUGCUUAAGUGAGGCAGUGACCAGAAAGCCCGGCUAUUGGCGUUCUGCGAACUUCUAAAAGAUAGCUAGCUUGAGCCGACGCACCUGAGCACAAGCGAAAUUUAGGCGCUGGGGUCAAAGGAAGCGUGUUCUUGCGCGUCUGAGACCUGAGAUCUAAACCAAGGACUACGCUCGUAGAGACCAACGCCAGGUGACUUCGGACGGCGGUUCGACUCCGCCCAUCUCCACCA
rnacentral:tmRNA from 1 species